rnacentral:antisense_RNA from 1 species
AGAAGGGCUUCCGGGACUCGUUUCGGGGGCCUUUUUCUUUUUGC